UACGGGGGGGGGCAAGCGUUGUUCGGAAUUACUGGGCGUAAAGGGCUCGUAGGCGGCCAACUAAGUCGGACGUGAAAUCCCUCAGCUUAACUGGGGAACUGCGUCCGAUACUGGAUGGCUUGGAUUUGGGAGAGGGAUGCGGAAUUCCAGGUGUAGCGGUGAAAUGCGUAGAUAUCAGGAGGAACACCGGUGGCGAAGGCGGGUCUCUGGGCAGUGAACUGACGCUGAGGAGCGAAAGCGUGGGGAGCGAACAGG
rnacentral:rRNA from 1 species